CCGCGCGUGUCAGAGGCUGCGCGGCGCCGGGCUUAUUUAGCUGUGGCACCGAGGCAGCUCUCUGCCUCGAGGCUGGAGGGCAACGCGGUCUGAGGCAGCCAAAGACCGGGCCAACUCGCUGCCAAAAAGGGGCCGGAUUGCUUCCGGAUCUAGGAGGCAAGCGGGACUUCUCCCUCUCCCUACUGGACGCACAACUCAGGAUCCUGAUGGCUUCUUACCGCCCCGUCGGCUGUUUUUUUUCUCCAGAGGAAAGCGUACACAAGAAACCUUUCCUGGAGAAGGAAUAGGUGAUAAGAAGACGGGAAGAAACAAGCAUCUGUUGCUACUGUCCCCAUUUUGCUGAUGUGGAAACUGAGGCUUGAAAGGGACCAAGAACCUAAUGAAAUGUUCCCAAGGUUGAAAUGGUAAUAAAUAGCCAGAAAUGAGGAAAAGGCAAAAAGUUAUCCAGGCUCGCAAGUCAAAGCCAUACUGGAUCUAAGCUAAACUUUCUUAUACAGGAUAGUCUACAAAAAACAAUAAGGGGACAUUAAUUUAUUCAUAUUAAAAAUACUUACUGAAGACACACUACGUUCCAGUGACUAGUACUGGGAAUAAAGAGGCGAGCAAAAGAGACUUACCAAGUUCCUGUUGCUAAAUCAGUAAGACUCAAGGAAGUAGCAACAAGUUAGAGUAGACGUGGUAACUACCUUCAAGAAAUUUACAAUUCCAAACGAGUCGUUAGGAAAUACAGUAUGAGGUGAAAACAGUUAAAAAGUGAAAGAAAUAAAACUAAAGAUAAUGAUGUUAAAAAAAACCCCACAUUAUCAGGCACUGUUAUAGCCUUCAUAUGUCAUUUCAUCUUGUCAAAGAAUGUCUCAAAAGACAGCCACAGGAAAGAAAAGAAAAACUUUAUUUGCAAAGCUGCAAGGGAGUGAGACUUCCAAAAGGACUGAUUCACCAAAUAUGAGACAUCAAGUUUUAAAGAUUAGUUAAAGUAUAGAGGGAAGAAAAGAACACAGAAUUAAAUUGACUUUACAUGCACUGAAAGGGAAUCUAAGCCAAGGAAAGUUGGAAUGGUAGCCUGUAAGGGGACAGCUACAGAAAGGGCCAGGGAAGAAGAAUUCCUAAUUGAUGUUUUCCUAUGCCAUUUCCUGAGUUCGUGACUGUGGACGAGUUAUCUCUCCAAAUCUCAUUGUCCGCUUCUGUGAAAUGCUGGUAGCAGGGAUGACUGCAAAGGCUUGUGGUCAAGAUUAAAUAACAUAAGAAAGUGCUGCUAGACUAUAAUUUCAUGUGUGUGAAAUUCAAGGGGAAAAAGGAAACAAUACAUAAUCCAGUCUGUAGCUUCUCAUGGAUCGUGCAAAGCACCACCAGGACAGACAUCUCAAGCACAUUUGAAGAGCUCCUGUUUCCUAAGUAAGACAGCAGCAGCAAGACUGCAAUCAUUUCUGGGAAGGCAGUAUCAUCAUAAUGCAAUAUUAGCUACUGUGAUCUUCUAUCAUUUCCUUCCUGGAGAGUUAUGACUGUGGCAUUGAAGAUUUAAGACCUACAGCCUCAACACUACUUACUACAAAUCUCUCACAAAGCUGCUGCAAUAAAUCUCGUGGAGGAAAGUCAUUGCAUAAAAAAAUCCUCAACUCCAGGGAGUUGGCCAUUUAUUUUCCUAGAAAAGGGGCUGUGAUGAGAGACACUCCAUGCUCCUUUAACUCCAUGGAACAGAACCCAACAAAACAUUCAUCAUGGAAAGUUGACUGAUGGGCCCAGUGAGACUAGCUGGGGAAGGAAGAUGGAAAGAGAAGUGCCCCAUCCAAGGCCUGCUCCUUUUCCUAGCUGCAGCCCGGAGGGAUUUCCUCUUAGCUUGAGGAUUGACUUUCCAUAGAAUCAGCACCACUGAGGGUAAGCUUCCCUGAAGACAAACUCUGUCAUUGGAGAGCUCAGCCAGGGGUCUAAAACUGGACCCUAUGGACUCCACAGAUUUAUUUAGUCUGCACAGUGUUUAAAAAUGUUUUUAGUUAGGGCCAGGCAUGGUGGCUCCCACCUGUAAUCCCAGCACUUUGAGAGGCCGAGGUGGGUGGAUCACCUAAGGUCAGGAGUUUGAGACCAGCCUGCCUGACAUGGCAAAACCCAGUCUCUACUAAAAAUACAAAAAUUAGCUGGGCAUGGUUGCUCAGGCCUGUAAUCUCAGAUACUUGGGAGGCUGAGGCACAAGAAUCACUUGAACCUGGGAGGCGGAGGUUGCAGUGAGCCAAGAUCGCACCAUUGCACUCCAGCUUGGGUGACAAGAGUGAAACUCCAUCUCAAAAAAAAAAAAAAAAGUUUCUAGUUAGUUCCCAACAUAAAAAAUUAACAAUUUUGCAAAGAAAGAUAAAAUCCAGAUUUUGGGCUCCCCUAAACAAAUUGGGAUAUCUGAAAACAGUGGGCCACAUUCCUACAUUCCUGCCCCUGUUGACAGUAUGCGCCUGCUCUAAUUUUACUUCCCCUUUUACCCUAACUGCCCUGUAGGGAAUGGAGUUUGCAAUCCCCAUACUAAUCCAUCACCCUGCAGGUCCAUUCCCCUCCUCCCUGACCUCUGUUCUGAUAAGGGGUGAGAGAAUGAACCCCCAUAUGUAUUGAAUGGAAAAUACAUGUAUUGGCCAGGCACAGCGGCUCACACUUGUAAUCCCAGCACUUUGGGAGGCCAAGAUGGGCAGAUCACCUGAGGUCAGGAGUUCAAGACCAGCCUGGCCAAUAUGGCGAAACCGUGUUUCUACUAAAAAUAAUUUAAAAACAAAAUUAGCCAGACAUGAUGGCAGGCGCCUAUAAUCCCAACUACUCAGGAGGCUGGGGCAGGAGAAUCGUUUGAACCCAGGAGGCGGAGGCUGCAGUGAGCCAAGAUCGCACCAUGGCACACCAGCCUGGGCAACAAGACUGAAACUCCAUCUCAAAAAAAAUAAAAAUAAAAAUACAUGUAUUGAUGAGAAAAUACAACUGACUAAUCCCACCUAAACCAUGACCUCAUAUAAAUUCAGAAGAUCUUUCUAACAUGGCAGGGAGGCAGCCUAGUAUAAAGCAAAGAGCACAUGCUUUGCGAAUGUAAACCAAAAAUAAAAGUUGAAGGCCCUCCUCACCAUAUGAAUGGUCUCCUUCCUUUGCCAGGGCACCCUAAAAUUUAACUGGUUGAGGCCAUGAUGGGUAGUAGGGGUUGGACAUGCCUCAUUAUACCCUUCCAGCAGUAACAUCAACACAGACUUUAAGUCUGAUAAGAAACAUUUACAGUCUAUUUUCUCUAAAGCCUGCUACUUGGAGAUAUAAAACCUAGGUCUCCACAACCCCUAUUGUAACCCAGCCAUUUCUUUCUAAUGAUAAUAAGUCUUUCAACCAAUUGCCAAUCAGAAUAUGUUUAAAUCUUCCUAUGACCUAGAAGCACCCCACUCUUUGAGUUGUCCCACCCUUCCAGAUUGAACCAAUGUAAAUGGUUCAAUUGAUUGAUGUGUUAUAUCUCCCUAAAGUGUAUAAAAGGAAGCUGUACCUCAACCAUCUUGGGCACGCGUCUUCAGGAACUCCUGAGUCUGUGUCACAGGUGUGUCCUUAACCUUGGCAAAGUAAACUUUCCAUUACUUAUAAUGGCAAAAACUGCAAUUACUUUUGCACCAACCUAAUAAAUGGAUUGAGACUUGCCUCAGAUACUUAUUGGUUUAUACCUAGAGGCAGACCUUGGCUCAAAUCCCAUCUCUCCCUUACUCUGGGAUAUUGUCCAACUUGCUCAGCCUCUUGAAACCUACUUUGCUUACAGCAAAAUGGGUAUAAGGGGAUCUUUCACCCAAGCCUUUUGUGAGGACUAAAUGUGGUAAUGGACAUUAAGUGCCAGACCCCUUGAAUGUGCCAUCUUCUCUCAGCUUCUAUAAUGUCAUGCUGUCAGUUCCCUCCUUUUCUUUUUUUCUUUUCUUUUCUUUUUUUUUUUUUUUUUUGAGACGGAGUCUUGCUCUGUCCCCCAGGCUGGAGUGCAGUGGCACGAUCUCGGCUCACUGCAAGCUCCGCCUCCCGGGUUCACGCCAUUCUCCUGCCUCAGCCUUCCGAGUAGCUGGGACUACAGGCGUCCGUCACCGCGCCUGGCUAAUUGUUUUUGUAUUUUUCUUAGAGACUGGGUUUCACAGUGGUCUCGAUCUCCUGACCUCGUGGUCCGCCCGCCUCGGCCUCCCAAAGUGCUGGGAUUACAGGUGUGAGCCACCGCGCCCAGCCUAGUUCCCUCCUUUUCAUGGCUUCUUUGCUUCAUCUUUUCUGUCUCCUUUGAAGGUAUGCCUUCCUGGAAUAUACCAUAAAUGUCAGUGUUCCUCAGGAUUCUAUCUUGACCUGACUCCCCCGACCCAACUGCUAGCUUUUCCCUCUGUCUAAUGCUGGUACAGAUACAUAAACUGAUAGGUAGAUUACAACACAAUUCGAUUUUCUGUUUUGCUUUUUUUUUUGGCUUAUUAUUACAUAAACUUUUUUUCAUUGCUGCCAUACAUUCUUCAAAAUAAACACUUCGGGGGGCGAGCUGGCCCAGCACUUUGGGAGGCCAAGGAGGUGGAUCACUUCAGGUCAGGAGUUCGAGACCAGCCUGACCAACAUGGUGAAACCCCCAUCUCUACUAAAAAUACAAAAAUUAGCCGGGUGUUGGUGCAAGCACCUGUAAUCUCAACUGCUCGGGAGGCUGAGGCAUGAAAAUCACUUGAACCCGCGAGGCAGAGGUUGCAGUGAGCCAAUAUAGUACCACUGUACUCCAGCCUGGGCAACAGAGCUGCGAGACCUUGUCUCAAACAAAACAAAACAAAACAAAAUAAACACUUCAUGGCUGAACAAUAUGCCAUUUCCUGAAUAGAUUGUAAUUUACCUAAUCAUUUCUCUAAUAGUGGACACUUAGGUUGUUCUAAUUUUGAAAGGCAGGAAUACCAAGAAUGUUUUCUUGCACAUGGCAGAUUAUUUCUCAGUAUAGGCUCAUCCUUUCGAGUAUAUGGCAUCUUUUCUUCUUUCCCUCCUCUCUCUCCUCAGAAGUACUCAAGGCCCCGGAGAUACUUUGGCUGUAUCCCCACCAAUCUCAUCUUGAAUUGUAGCUCCCAUGAUUCCCAUGUAUCCUGAGAGGGACCCAGUGGGAGGUAAUUGAAUCAUGGGGGCAGGUCUUUCCCGUGCUGUUCUAGAGAUAGUGAAUGAGUCUCACAAGAUCUGAUGGUUUUAUAAAGGGCGGUUCCCCUACACAAGUUCUCUCUUGCCUGCCACUUUGCUCCUCAUUUGCUCUCUGCCAUGACUGUGAGCCCUCCCCAGCCAUAUGCAACUGUGAGUCAAUUAAACCUCUUUUCUUAAUAAAUUACCCAGUCUCUGGUAUGUCUGUAUUAGCAGUGUGAGACAGACUAAUACAGCCCUUAUGUGUCCAGAAGUACUGACUUUCUUGGAUGAUACCUUAAGUAAAGCCUAAUAAAGCUUUAGUGACUGAUACAUUUUUAAAAAUGAAGUAAUUAUUUAUGUGUAAUGAGACAAAUUAUUUAUUUCAGAGUGUUAUUUGCCUUACUCUCUUCCCCCAGCAAAAGGAGUCCUCAAGUGGCCAGCCACAUUUUCUCAUUUCUCCUUUCUUCAAAAACUGAUGGGAUCUUGCUUGAUGAAGUCACAUAACAAGUGAAUACAGCAAAGAGAGAGGGAAGGGGGAGGAAAUAGCCGUUGGGAAUGGAGUGUUGUUGGAUGAGCUUUGUGAAGUGUGGGAAGAGAAAGAUACUAGAGGAGACCGAGACAAAUGGAUAGGUGAAGAAACAGAAUUUUAGUAAGUGGUGCUGUAUGCUAUAUAUGUGGAUUUGCCUCAAAGUUUUAAAAAAUGGCAAGCAG
rnacentral:lncRNA from 10 species